rnacentral:rRNA from 1 species
UACGGGGGGGGGCAAGCGUUGUUCGGAAUUACUGGGCGUAAAGGGCGCGUAGGCGGCCUGCUAAGUCGGAUGUGAAAUCCCUCGGCUCAACCGAGGAACUGCAUCCGAUACUGGCGGGCUUGAAUCCGGGAGAGGGAUGUGGAAUUCCAGGUGUAGCGGUGAAAUGCGUAGAUAUCUGGAGGAACACCGGUGGCGAAGGCGGCAUCCUGGACCGGUAUUGACGCUGAGGCGCGAAAGCUAGGGGAGCAAACGGGG